AAGGGGUACCCCCGGACGCGGCGGAAGAGGCG
rnacentral:tRNA from 1 species